GGGGAGGGGCAGAGGGGGCAGGGGAACAGAGAAUCUGAAGCAGUCUGACGGCAGAGAGUCCAAUGGUGCGGCUCAGACUCACCAAUUGUGACCUGAGCUGAAAGUGGGCAGUUAACCAACUGAGCCACCAAGGUGCCCCUCUUUUCCCAUUCUAACUCUGAUCCUUGUAAAGUGCGGUACACAGAACCCACUUGUGUGAUUUCACCUGACCAGAGUUAAGCCUCUCCAUUCUAUCAUUCUACAGACAGUGACUGAAUUGGAAGAAAAAAAAAAGAACAAACACAAGAAACAAACUAAGAUUUUUGUAGGCAGCCUCAUCAGACUGAAUAGAAUACUGAUUUAUCAAAAAAAAAUUUUUUUUUAACGUUUAAUUAUUUUUGAGAGACCGAGAGAAACAGACCAUGAGCAGGGGAGGGGCAGAGAAAGAGAGGGAGACACAGAAUUUGAAGCAGGCUCCAGGCUCCGAGCUGUCAGCACAGAGCCCGAUGCGGGGCUCAAGCUCAUGAACUGUGAGAUCAUGACCUGAGCCGAAGUCGGACGCUCAACCCACGGAGCCACCCAGGCGCCCCUGAAUAUAAUACCGAUGGAAAUUCCUAAGCCAUUCCCACAUGCCCUCCUGCUGAGCUACAACCCUUUCCACUCUGCUUGCACUUGGGCCCUGUACAAAGCCUCAGAUUGCUUCAUGAUGACGUUUCCUCUUAUUGUUGGGAACAAUUGUCAAAGGCCUUGAAAUGGGCAAAACAAUCACUGAGUUUCUUUGAAGGGAUUGCUGGGCGUUAUCUGGCAGAUUCUUCUGGGUUGCCUGCUUUGACAGAGGUCUGUGCCUUUCACUGUUUUCGACUAAACUAUUUUGCGACUGUGAGUUAUAGAAAGCCCAUCGCAAUGCAAAUCUUGUCCACCGAGAAAUAGAAAUGAAUUUUGUCCGGUGGACGUGCGAUUGAUUUCCACCCUGUGAAAGAGGCUGCCAAUCUUACAUCUAGUAGCAAAAUUAUUUCACCAUUUCUAAUUGCUUUUAUGUGUGUCUAUUCUUUGGGUACUGCUUGAACCGGUAACAUUUUGUAAUAUUUCACUGCCUCUGUGACCAAUUAAUGAAUAGUUAAUUGAUGGACACAUGUCUAUUUUAUAUUUGUAUAAGAACCCUGAUUGUUGCUUAAAAAUAAUGUUUAGGGGUGCCAGGGUGGCUCAGUGAGUUGAGUGUCCAACUCUUGAUUUUGGCUCAGUCAUGAUCUCAUGGUUGUGGGAUCGAGGCCCACAUCGAGCCCCAUGCUAAGCAUGGAGCCUAUUUGGGAUUCUCUCUCUCUGUCUCUCUGAAUCUCUUUCUCUUUCUCUCUGCCAAAAAGAAAUAAACAUUAAAAAAAAUCUUUAACGCUGAUUUUCUCACGUCGUCACAGCUGGCGAGGCAUGAACAGGGCAAAAAUGGAAACUAAACAAACAGUAAAGACCCUGUUUGAGAUUGAAAUGGGUCUGCUAACCCGUAUCUCUAAGUGAAGUUGUUCAACCAGUUACUAAUCCAUUUAAUCAUACUGAUACGAUUCUACUUGCAAACAGGCUGUCCCUAAGUGUGAUUUUCUUAAGUCCAAAGUGAUUAAGAGGGGUUAAAACCUGCUGUCCCCAGUGAUCAUUCCCACCAAGGAUGAGCAGAGGUCAGAUUUUAUAACUUUAAAAUCAGUCAUAGAUUUCUCCUCCUUGCUCAUUUACAUUUUAAUGGAUACCCUUUGCCAGGAUAGAUUAGUUUUACCUACACUGAAAAUCCUUAAUGAUCUUGUUGAAUGGAACUGAGCAGGAGAAAUAUAUUGCUCUGGAGAAGGGGAAUUUGGGGGUUGGUUAGUAGAAACAGAAUGUGUUAAGUGGGUAAAGUUAAGGCCUGUUACAGGCCGCCGAGACUUGGUGGAGGAACAGAUACGGUGAUGAGGAGGUGGCCGCAGUGAUGGCAUUUUUGGCUACAUGACAAUGAGCCCACUGAGAAUGCCGUUGGGCUGAAUGAAUGGAGGAGACGGCAUAAGGGACACUCAAUGGUGCCGGCGCUCUCCUCCCUGGAAACAGGGCCCUUCCCGCGUGCUCGUGAUGUUAUAAUGAUAAAGUAAGCACGCGAAUCUGGUCUCAAGCAAGCCUGCGUCUAGGGAUGGCACCCCGGCAGAAGGAGAGGAGGGUUCAGCAGUCAGAGGACGAGAUGCUGGACAGGAAAGAAUGAGUUAGGAGAACAGGAACUGACGAGGCAGGCUGGGCGCUGGAGACCUUGGGUACUGCCUACCAGUAGCUUCUCCCAGUUUGGGUCGGUGGGUCUGAGUACAUGAUAGUCUGAAGUAUGGCUCCACCAUGCCUCACCAUGGCCAUCGGUGCACCAAAGCUACAUCUGUUUAGAAGGAACAAGAGAGAUGAGACAACAAGUUGUGGUUAGUGUGCAGGACAUUCCUUAGCACCUGCUGCCUUCAAAUGCAGAAACUGCUGACAAUGGCGUUGUGACGCCCACUUGACCGCAGUUGAUCGUGGGUGAAGCCGUCGAACUCUCACUCCGUCCGCAUCUAUGAAAGGUCUUCUGCUGAAAAGCUUCCGUGUUCUGUUUUAGCCCACACUCUCGACCUUCUCCCCGAGGAUGAUGAGAGAGGGACUUAUUUAAUGUCUUGCUAAAGUCCUGACUCGGGCUCCAUAUCCGCAGUCCUUUUCUCUCGCUGGGAGCGGGUGUCACUUACCUCACGCACUUGCCCACCCAGGACAUCUGACCCAGCUUGUAUAACUGGAGCCAAAGGCCUUCCUGGCACAGAAAGGGGCCCAAAAGGUGAUGAAAUUGAAACUCCAGGAUUAGCGCACUUGUGCCUGGUCACGUAGAUGAAAGCUGGCUGGUUCUUAGAUACGCUCCAGCCCGGCCUGUUUAUCUCGUGAGCUUCAGAAGGCAAGCCGCCCCCGCCCGCCAUGGCUCCUUCCCCGUGUGAUUACAUCUUUCCUUGAUCCCACUGACAGAGCAUUGCUGUUGAGUUGGUGUGGAUGCUGCUGAAUGCUCACUGUCACUUUCUGUAUUCAUCUUGGGGAGCAGUAACCCAGCCUGUCGGGGCCUCCUGCACAGACCACCCUUUGAACGGUGUUCUGAGCCUUCAGUGACGCUGGCAGCGAUGAUGCAUUACAAAACCAAACAAAUUAGUCCUCAGGACAGACGACCCGGGGGCAAAUCAACCACCACAACAGAAAAGACAAGCUUUCAAACCAACGAGAGAAGACAAGAUUGUAAUGCCUUCCUAACAACCUUGCUUUAUUGAUGCAAUGCAAGGAAAACUACAUUAGAUUCUAUUGAUUCUCUUUGAGAUCUAAUAAUAUGCUCUAUUCAGAUCUUAUUCACAUACACUUCCUCCACAGUCUUUCUCAGGAGCUGAAAUUGGCCAGUUACAAACAGAAUUUGUUCUCCUGUCCUUUGAAAUCACAGAAGCGGACGUGUUUUCGAACACAAAAGAUAUGAAGCUUUCUUUGGGAAACAAAGCAUAGUAGGGAAAAAUAUCUCCCCUCUAAACAAAAUUGAAAGCAUGCCUUACUUCAGAUUUAUUUGAUUACAGAAUCUUCCUCGGGGCUAAUCAGUUUUCGAACCCAUUCCUAUUGGCACCAGUGAGCUAAUAAAAAACCCAGAAAGAGAGAAGUAUCACAACAACUCAGAGAAACAAGGUUGUUCAUUUAAAAAAAAAAAAAAAAAAAGCAUUGAAUUAAUGUUUACACUGCUGAGUCAAAUUAUUUAUAUGUAUGCUAUAGGUUUUGCAUCCCCAGAAUUUGUUAGCAUUCAGAGUAUGAUAAAUUGUACCUGGCUGACUUGUGAAAAAUCAUCUCGAGAAAGAUUUUUUUUUUUUCCAGUGGGAAAAUAUAUGGAUGACACACGGUGGCUUAUUGAAACUGUUCUUUGGGUGAACAGCCAGAACAAUUCAGCAGAAGGGAGAGGCGGAUUUACAAAUUAUUAUUUUUUAUUUUUUGAGAGAGAGAAUGAGCAGGGGAGGGGCAGAGAGACAGGCAGAGAGAGAAUCCCAAGCAGGCUCCACACCGUCAGCACAGAACCCGAUGCAGGGCUCGAACUCACGAACCAUGAGAUCAUGACCUGAGCUGAAACCAGGAGUCAGACGCUCAACUGACCGAGCCCCCCAGGCGCCCCACGGAGAGGCGGGGUCUUGGAUGUCACAGUGGAUGAUUAAGAAUUUUGGCUUUGGGGCAGUGUUGUGAUAAUGCUCAUCAGGUAACUUCUGUACCUUGUCUGCAUCUGUACGGUAGGUUGGAAACUCAGGGUUUUCUGCAAAUAUUCAAAGCAAUAAAACACACAGCACUACAGGAGCCCGUCCAGGGUUAAGAAUCUAAUAAAUGUCAGCUUUUGUAUCCUUA